rnacentral:rRNA from 1 species
GCUGGAAUCGCUAGUAAUCGCGGAUCAGAAUGCCGCGGUGAAUACGUUCCCGGGUCUUGUACACACCGCCCGUCACACCAUGGGAGUCGGAAAUGCCCGAAGUCUGUGACCCAACCUACGGGAGGGAGCAGCCGAAGGCAGGUCGGAUGACUGGGGUGAAGUCGUAACAAGGUAAC